CUGAUUUUCGCGGCAACAGGAAAUACAGUUGCGAUACCGCAGCCGAUACUCUGCAAUGCACGAGGGCGAUCGUCGAGUUUGCCAAACCUUACUCGUUCUUGAUCAAUACUUCUGUCGUUAAUUCUUCAAGACUACGGGAAGCUGUUGAUAAGGAAUGGAUGGAGUGGUUGCGCAGGGAACCUGCGCAAAAUCUGCACCUAAUUCCUUAUGGAGUUGUCUAGGUAUUCUCUAAGAUAUUACGCUGUUGGACAGCUAAUUCUUCGGAAGAAUGCUGAGACUGUACAUUGACAGAUUGCUUUGAAGAAAUUCAGUUUCAAUUUCUGGGAAAAUCAAUAUGAAUAUUGGCCAGAUUCACUAAAGAAAUUUAUCAGUACUUCAAGAUCUGUUGCAUUUGAACGUGAACAAGCAGACUUGCAGAUGCUUGGGAUAAAGAACCCGUUCCUUUUCUGGAACCUCGUCUGCAGCAUUCAAACCUCCUUGAUCUAGCCAAGCUAAAAAUUUCAUCUUUUUGGGCACUUAUUUCCUCCAAAGAACAUUUAAAAAUUUCUUCGGGUUCAAGGGAGAGCCACCACCAUGUUAUAGAAAGAGAAGUGAGCUUUAGGUGUAAAGAGGCCAUCAGAAUUCCAGCUCCGGCAUAGCAUAUUUCUUUCAUUAACGAACAGAACACUUUCAAGAAGAUGAGAGACUCUAGUUAGAAAGUUCUUUUUCAUUGUGCUGUCUUGUAUACCUGAGAUUCCAGCCACUAUCAACUAAAUUCCUGCAUUCCUGAAACAAUAAAGUCUCAGAUUCAUUAAGAUGAAAAAAUGUCAUAAAUUUCUGAUAUCGGUCUCCUCCAAGGAUACAACAGAAAUAUCUCUUGAACAAGGACAGGAUUUAACAAAGGUACUAUCUUCCACAAUCUAAACCAGAAGUUCUGUAGACUGCAAGGAAGUAAAAGCAGUCAUUAGUACUGGUUUUCUAUAAAUAUUAUCCAGAAGUUGUAUCAACUUGCCUAUCUGUUGGGUUUCAAGGAAGGCUUUGCGACGUCAAGAGAAAAGGGAGGCUACAAUAUCUCCUCGCAGUGUCAUGAACCUAAGCUCGAGGCAUCACAAUAAGGGACUUAUUUUGGCCUUAUUGGUCUCCGAAUUUUGAUCAUACCUACAAUCGCUAGGAAAGUUGUUGCGGCAUAAGAUUUAUUAGGA